rnacentral:rRNA from 1 species
CCUACGGGUGGCAGCAGUGAGGCAUAUUGGUCAAUGGGCGUAAGCCUGAACCAGCCAAGUCGCGUGAGGGAUGAAGGUUCUAUGGAUCGUAAACCUCUUUUAUAAGGGAAUAAAGUGUGGGACGUGUCCUAUUUUGUAUGUACCUUAUGAAUAAGGAUCGGCUAACUCCGUGCCAGCAGCCGCGGUAAUACGGAGGAUCCGAGCGUUAUCCGGAUUUAUUGGGUUUAAAGGGUACGUAGGCGGAAUAUCAAGUCAGCGGUAAAACUUCGGGGCUCAACCCCGUCGUGCCGUUGAAACUGAUGUUCGUGAGUGGGCGAGAAGUAUGCGGAAUGCGUGGUGUAGCGGGGAAAUGCAUAGAUAUCACGCAGAACUCCGAUUGCGAAGGCAGCAUACCGGCGCCCAACUGACGCUGAAGCACGAAAGCGUGGGUAUCGAACAGGAUUAGAUACCCGGGUAGUC